UCCAACGCCUCACGUUUUCCUUAUUUUUUAUUUCUGAUUUUAAUUUCCAUUUUAUUCUUUUAUUCCAUUUCAUUUAAAAAAAUCACAUCUCAUUCAUUUUAAUUCCAAAAAACAUGAGACCAAUUGCAUUAUUUCUCUUUUAAUAUUUUUUAUAUUAUUUCUCAUUUUAAUAUUUUUUAUUUUAUCAUUUGAUAUUUUUUAUGAAUUUUCUCUUUUCUGGUUGUUUUUAAUUCAUUUAAAAUAGUUUUUGAUAUUCAAA
rnacentral:lncRNA from 1 species